ACAAGCGUGGAGCAUGUGGUUUAAUUCGAAGCAACGCGAAGAACCUUACCAGGUCUUGACAUCCCGAUGCUAUUUCUAGAGAUAGAAAGUUACUUCGGUACAUCGGUGACAGGUGGUGCAUGGUUGUCGUCAGCUCGUGUCGUGAGAUGUUGGGUUAAGUCCCGCAACGAGCGCAACCCCUAUUGUUAGUUGCCAUCAUUCAGUUGGGCACUCUAGCGAGACUGCCGGUAAUAAACCGGAGGAAGUGGGAUGACGUCAAAUCAUCAUGCCCCUUAUGACCUGGGCUACACACGUGCUACAAUGGUUGGUACAACGAGUUGCGAGUCGGUGACGGCGAGCUAAUCUCUUAAAGCCAAUCUCAGUUCGGAUUGUAGGCUGCAACUCGCCUACAUGAAGUCGGAAUCGCUAGUAAUCGCGGAUCAGCACGCCGCGGUGAAUACGUUCCCGGGCCUU
rnacentral:rRNA from 1 species